AACGAACGCUGGCGGCAGGCUCAACACAUGCAAGACGAGCGCCCCGCAAGGGGAGCGGCAGACGGGUGAGUAACGCGUGGGAAUCUACCCAUCUCAACGGAAUAACGCAUGGAAACGUGUGCUAAUACCGUAUACGUCCUUCGGGAGAAAGAUUUAUCGGAGAUGGAUGAGCCCGCGUUGGAUUAGCUAGUUGGUGGGGUAAAGGCCUACCAAGGCGACGAUCCAUAGCUGGUCUGAGAGGAUGAUCAGCCACACUGGGACUGAGACACGGCCCAGACUCCUACGGGAGGCAGCAGUGGGGAAUAUUGGACAAUGGGCGCAAGCCUGAUCCAGCCAUGCCGCGUGAGUGAUGAAGGCCCUAGGGUUGUAAAGCUCUUUCACCGGUGAAGAUAAUGACGGUAACCGGAGAAGAAGCCCCGGCUAGCUUCGUGCCAGCAGCCGCCGUAACAC
rnacentral:rRNA from 1 species